CGUGGUGCCGGGGGGUUCUGGUGGCUCUCCGCCCCUGAGGGCGCUGGGGGUGAAGGGGGGGGGGGGUCACAAGCUCCCCCUGAGCCCCCAAAAAUCCCUUGUGUCCCUCCUCGCCUCCCACUGGCCGCUGGUUCCGCGCCAGUUUACUCACUUCCUGGACUACAACUCCCGAAAGACCGCGGGGCCCCGUAGGACGCCGAUAGAGCCGGGACUGCGGUUCCCGUCAUGCCCCGCGACCCGCGAGAGGCCAGUCAGGGCCGGGACUGUCCCCUAAGCACCGUCCCAGCUGCUCCCCGAGUGCUCCCCUGAGCCGUGAGUGCGCCCCGGGGCCCCACUUAUAGAUAUGCCUUAUAAGGAAAGCGGAAAAAGAGGAAGACUUGGGGCCUUCAUCCUACGGCCACCAGAAGGCAGAAAAAAAGACCCCCUAGCAACCGGAGGAGCACGUGCAGAAGACGGACCACGUCAUCCAGGAAUCCGGAGAAAAAGGACAAUAAAAAGCGAACUUUAAAGGGGGGAGGUGCGCGCCUAAGAGGAGCAAAGACUCUGGGCCGCCCAGCGCUGAAUCUUGCUUAUUCUUGCUUGCAUAAUAAUAAAGAUAAUUGUACCGUUCUUAAA